AUGUUACUGUGUCUUAUUGGUUCAAUGAUGAUUUCUCUGGCAUAUUAGACUUUUAUUUUUUCCCCCAUGGAAGCACUUGAGGAAAUAAAUAGUACACUGGCUGUUUUCUGCCAGCAACUGUGGUGAUUUUUCUCCCUGUCCUUUGAGAAUUGCUAGUCUGCUUCUGAGCCAUUGUCAUAUCCAGCAGGGAGCAGCUUGGUUCAAGAAGGACCAUAGAGGCUGCUCAGCAUCUCCUCCCUCCCUCCCAGCUUGCCAGGGAUUUGAUGAGACAGGAAACUGCCCAGCAAACCAGGGACUGCCCAUGUAAACUAUUUAAGAAAAAGUUCAACCCAGGUCUUGUAUCCUGUGAUUUAGCAGUUGAAUGAAUACAGAAUUCAUCAAAAUAAUAUUAACCUUGUACUUGCACACUUGGAUAUAUUUGGGAGUAAUUUUAGGAGAUUUCUGGCUGACUUUUAUUAUCAGGGAUAUGGGUUUAGUAAAGCUUUUAUCUUUAGAAAAAUGUUUGUAUGCAUUAUAAGAUGCUACUUUUAAGACAAUAUUGAAAAAAACUUUGGUUAUUAUUUAACAAAAGUGGUAUGACUUGAUGCUUCUCUAUUUAAAGGCAAGGAAGGAUUGGUAUAUGAUUGCCUGUAAUAAAUAAAUUGCGUGAUUAUUGGAGUACAUUGGGGUAAAAGUAAAGAACAGAGGAGUAUUGAGGAGCUUGAAAGGGAACAUUCAAACUAAAGCCAAGCCUGAAGAUAACUUGAAUCAGUUGUAAAAGUGUGUUGGCAAUGUCCGAAAUUGAAUGAAAAACAUCUGGCUUAUAAGAAAUGUUAAAGAACUACCAUCUUAAGUAAAAUUGGUGUUUUUGUUAUUUUUAAGGUAAAUGCCAAUGCAAAAGGUAUGUUUUUCUACUUCACAUUGGUUUUCUUUUCCUGUUUACAUCUGCACUUGUUUUUUGCUGAGAGCCAGAGGAAAAGAUAAUUAGACUUUGUCUCUUCCACCCAUGAAAUCCCCCAGUACCCAGGGCUUCUUCUGAACUACUGCCGAUGUGAUGUCACUUUGUAUCUGGAAAAUCACUUUGGGGUCCAUUUACUGUUAUUUUGUUGCCUACAAAAACAGCCAGGUGAAAGCUAAAUCUUGUGUGAGAGUUUGCAGAGGUUUUUCUAUACAAUAAAGUAGUAUAGCACACUAGCCAAAUCCAUCCAAAAGGACCUUUUUUUUAGGAAGUAGACUUGAAUUCACAAAACAGUCUUGACAUGGGUAGCUGGUGAAAAACCCUCUGGAGAGCAAGUGGAGCCAGUCCCCAUUGGCUGACAGUGCCACCUGGAGCUGGUCUCUGGGGUGUUCGGUUGUUUAUUCCUGAGGAAGACUAGCUGCUGCUGCUGCUGCUGCUGCAAACUGUACUGUACACAUCAUGGCUGCUGGACACGAAGGAGGAGGUGAGAGAAGUUUCAUGCUACCGAAAUAGAGGGUGUUGGUACCACUGCCCCUGGCCUGAGAGCCAGGGUUUAAACCUGCCUCAGUAGAGUCUAGUUUGAAAUGACACCAAAAUUCCUCAGCCCCUACUCAGCAAUUGGUUUUGGUUUCCAAAUGACUUCUGCAUUUGUAAAGAUAACAGAGUGGUGGGGUCAAAGUUUAUCUUGUGUUUAGAUCUCUUCAAGACUGCUUAAGCAAAAACAAAAAUCCCUUGGAACCUAUCGUUUGAGCCUGUAAAGUUGUUUUAGCAGUUGUCAUAAAUGCAUAUGUUGUGAAAUCAGAACACUGUCGAGUUUAUACUCAUUUAGCUGCAAUGUGGGACAAUGAAAAAUGCUUUACAGGCCUGGAGUAUCAUUACUUAUGGUAUCUCCUGCUUUAAAAUCUCAAGCGAUAUCUAUCUGGUUAAAUUCCAUUUUAGGAGAUUGAGAUGCAGAACGUUAAUGUUCAUUACCUCCUCCUACCCCAAGAGAAAUGGAUUCAGACAUGUCUUGUCUCAACAAGAAAUUGAUUUUUUUUUAAACUAUCUUAUUCUGUUGCCAAAUAUCACAGAAGUAAUGAGGAGUUUAGUUACAUUUGGCUGUUGUGCUCUGAAAGAGCCAGGUUUGGAAUUUGUGGGGGUGAUCUAGGAAGAAGGUUCCAAAGAAGCAGAGGCAUUUGUCAAGUUACCUACCCUAUAUCCAGCAUCCUCCUCAUGAGCUUCAGUAGCUGCUCUUUGCCCACGCUUGUAUCCUACGUUUGCUAUUUGGGCAAACCAUUACUUCAGUUAUUUAACUUCCCUUUUUUUUUAACUUCACCUUUGACUAUGAACAAGUAACGGUAACAUUCCUUUUGUGUAUUCAAUAAUGCAGUUAGUUUACCUUUUUCAGAAUAUUUUGAACAAAGAUCUUUGUCUCUUUCUGCUGGAAUGCGCACACAGUGAACGUUUGUUAGAACUACACACAAUAAAGACACUGUUUUCCUUUU
ensembl:lncRNA novel transcript